ensembl:rRNA 5S_rRNA 5S ribosomal RNA
UUGAACAGCCAUAUCCCUCUGCAGCCCAAGAGUGGUUACUCACUGAAGCUAAGCAGGGCUGAGCCUGGUCAGUAUCUGGACGUGAGACCACAUGGGAAAACUAGAUUGCUGUGGGAA